rnacentral:misc_RNA from 1 species
AACGCAUCUUGCGCUCCUUGGUAUUCCGAGGAGCAUGCCUGUUUGAGUGUCAUUUAAACUCUCAAACCACAUCAUUUGUUUGACGUGGCUUUGGACGUGGGGGUUGCCGGCUUUCUUCUCAGAGAGGCCUGCUCCUCUGAAAUGCAUUAGUGGUAUCUGAAGUGGAAAACCGCUAGGUGUGAUAAUACUGUCUAUGCCUUUGGUUUAUGCCGCAUGUGCUGCUUCCAACCGUACAUUUUUUGUGCUUUUGACAAACUUGACCUCAAAUCAGGUAGGACUACCCGCUGAACUUAA